rnacentral:piRNA from 1 species
UACAGGAUCUUCAAUGGAGGCGACGGUUU